rnacentral:lncRNA from 1 species
CCGGUCGUCGGCCCACCCAAACCCCCUCCGGUAGUCCAGCCUCCACUGCCACCCAUCAUCCCACCCAAACCUUCACCCCAUGUCAAGCCUCCAAUGCCUCCAAAAGUGAAACCUCCGCCCUACGUUAAACCCCCAGUAGUCCGGCCUCCACUGCCGCCUGUGGUCAAGCCGCCGCCCGUCGUCAAGCCGCCGCCCGUCGUCAAGCCACCGAUCGUGAAGCCACCACCCGUCGUCAAGCCGCCGCCUGUCGUGAAGCCACCGCCGGUGGUCAAGCCGCCGCCUGUAAAGCCACCACCCGUGGUCAAGCCGCCGCCUGUCGUUAAGCCGCCGCCCGUGGUCUACCCGCCUCCCAUCAUCACGCCGCCGGCGCCGCCUGUCGUUAAGCCACCACCCGUGGUCUACCCGCCUCCCAUCGUCACGCCGCCGGCGCCGCCUGUCGUGAAGCCACCACCCGUGGUCUACCCACCGCCCGUCGUCCCGCCGCCGGCGCCGGCGCCGGCGCCGCCUGUCGUGAAGCCACCACCCGUGGC